CCCGCUGAACUUAAGCAUAUCAAUAAGCGGAGGAAAAGAAACUAACAAGGAUUCCCCUAGUAACUGCGAGUGAAGCGGGAAAAGCUCAAAUUUAAAAUCUGGCGGUCUUUGGCCGUCCGAGUUGUAAUCUAGAGAAGUAAUGCCCGUGCUGGACCGUGUAUAAGUCUCCUGGGAUGGGGCGUCAUAGAGGGUGAGAAUCCCGUCUUUGACACGGACUACCAGUGCAUUGUGGUAUGCUCUCAAAGAGUCGAGUUGUUUGGGAAUGCAGCUCAAAAUGGGUGGUAAAUUCCAUCUAAGGCUAAAUAUUGGCGAGAGACCGAUAGCGAACAAGUACCGUGAGGGAAAGAUGAAAAGAACUUUGGAAAGAGAGUUAAACAGUACGUGAAAUUGCUGAAAGGGAAACGCUUGAAGUCAGUCGCGUUGGCCGGGAAUCAGCCUUGCUUUUGCAUGAUGUACUUUCUGGUUGACGGGUCAGCAUCAAUUUUGAUCACUGGAAAAGGCUCAAGGGAAUGUGGCAGCUUCGGCUGUGUUAUAGCCCCUGUUCACAUACAGUGGUUGGGAUUGAGGAACUCAGCACGCCGCAAGGCCGGGUUUCGACCACGUUCGUGCUUAGGAUGCUGGCAUAAUGGCUUUAAGCGACCCGUCUUGAAACACGG
rnacentral:rRNA from 1 species